rnacentral:rRNA from 1 species
CAGUACGUGAACCGUUCAGGGGUAAACGGGAGAGAUCCGAAAGGUCGAAAGGGGGAGACUCAAUCCCGUCCGCGCGUCCGGUACCGUCAUCGGUCCCAAGAAUGCUGCUGGCCUCCGAGGCGCGAGCCGGGUCGGAGUCGGCGGCAACGGGGCCGGAGGUCCGGCCGCGGCGAGGUGCACUUCUCCCCACGAGUAGGACGUCGCGACCCGUUGGGCAACGGCCUAAGGCCCGGGAUGAGACCGAGGGAACCGCCGCGCUUUCGCGCGGAACGACGGUUCCCCGGGCCCUGGAUGUCCCGGCCGGCGCCCGACGGCAAACCUCGCGGAGAAGGCCAGCUCCCUUGCAGAGCGAGCGUCAGGCCCGGUGGGCGAGCUCGACGACUAGGUGGCAAGUGGUGCCGUGGCUUCCGCCACGGUCCCGCCCCCCCUCGGCUGCUCGGCCGCUGAGUCCUGGAAUGGUCGCUGACUCGAUUAAGCGCGACUGCUGCUCCUGAUCUUUUCACCACCCUCCUUGAACUAAGGACCAAGGGAACUAAGAAACUAAGUUUAAC